UAGGGAAUCUUCCACAAUGGACGAAAGUCUGAUGGAGCAACGCCGCGUGAGUGAUGAAGGGUUUCGGCUCGUAAAACUCUGUUGUUGGAGAAGAACAGGUGUGAGAGUAACUGUUCACAUCUUGACGGUAUCCAACCAGAAAGCCACGGCUAACUACGUGCCAGCAGCCGCGGUAAUACGUAGGUGGCAAGCGUUGUCCGGAUUUAUUGGGCGUAAAGCGAGCGCAGGCGGUUUCUUAGGUCUGAUGUGAAAGCCUUCGGCUUAACCGGAGAAGUGCAUCGGAAACCAGGAGACUUGAGUGCAGAAGAGGACAGUGGAACUCCAUGUGUAGCGGUGAAAUGCGUAGAUAUAUGGAAGAACACCAGUGGCGAAGGCGGCUGUCUGGUCUGUAACUGACGCUGAGGCUCGAAAGCAUGGGUAGCGAACAGGAUUAGAUACCCUGGUAGUCCAUGCCGUAAACGAUGAGUGCUAAGUGUUGGAGGGUUUCCGCCCUUCAGUGCU
rnacentral:rRNA from 1 species